CCUGUGAUGGCCGAGUGGUUAAGGCGUGGACUUGAAAUCCAAUGGGGGUCUCCUCCGCGCAGGUUCGAACCCUGCUCACAGCG